AAGUGCAAAAAGCGCAGGAAAUAUCUUUUUCUUGGCAAGGUCCCCAGAGGCUCCAACCACAGUGAUACUGACAGUUGAUUCAUUUUUAUUCAUAUCAAAACCAGCUGUUUCUUUUAACUCCUUAGCAGAUGUAAGACAACAACCCAUCUUUCACUUUCUUGAAUGAGGUCUCAUUUUCUAAUGGGUUUACUGGAAUGGCCACUGCACCAUCUUGCAUGAGAACCACAUCUGGGUAGGAAUUCUUUCGAGAUUGUGAGAACACCUUAGCUGGUAACAACCUCUUAGGAAUCCCAGAAGAAGAGAAGUUUAUUCGUUGAAAUUG
rnacentral:misc_RNA from 1 species